UACUCUGAGUGAUUUCCGCUAAGGGGAUCUUUUGGCACCUCUAAAAAUGGUGCAGAAUAAGGGGUGGGCAAGUSUGGUGUCAGCCGCCGCGGUAAUACCAGCACCCCGAGUGGUCGGGACGAUUAUUGGGCCUAAAGCAUCCGUAGCCGGUUCUGCAAGUCUUCCGKUAAAUCCAGCCGCUCWACGGAUGGGCCGCSGAGGAUACUACAGGACUAKKAGGCGGGAGAGGCAAGCGGUACUCWGUGGGUAGGGGUAAAAUCCUUUGAUCCAUUGAAGACCACCAGUGGCGAAGGCGGCUUGCCAGAACGCGCUCUGUACGGUGAGGGAUGAAAGCUGGGGGAGCAAACCGGAUUAUAUACCCGGGUAGUCCCASCUGUAAACGAUGCAGACUCGGUGAUGGGCUAGCCUAGUGCCAGCCCAGUGCCGCAGGGAAGCCGUUAAGUCUGCCGCCUGGGGAGUACGGUCGCAAGACUGAAACUUA
rnacentral:rRNA from 1 species